ensembl:ncRNA asRNA:CR45195 antisense RNA:CR45195
GUGCCAAAGCGUUGAUCAGGGGCAGCUUGACCUCGGGUGCACCCAUGCCCACAACCACUACUACUCCGCCGGAGCGAGUGGCCUGAAGGGAAACUGGUUAGUGACUGAUAAUCCACACAUACGCAGAUCCACUUACGAAGAUGGCCAGGCGGGCACUGCUCUCGGCUCCACAGCAGUCGAUGGACUUGUCCGGCACCUCGCUCAUCGUCUGGUGAACCACCUUGACGGUCUCCUCGGCGGACUGAUCCCGCUGCAGAAGCAGCGUGUGUGUGGCGCCCAGCUCCUUGGCAACAUCCAAACGCUGCUGCACCAGAUCGGUGAUAAGGAUCUCGGAUGCACCCAUAGCUUGGGCAGCCUAGGGUGACCAAACCAAUUGGACCAGCGCCCAGAAUGAGCACCUUUGAGCCCAGACCGACUCCUGCGCGACGGCAGGCGUGAACUCCCACGGACAGGGGCUCCAGCAGAGCUCCUUCCUCCAUGCUGACGUGAUCCGGCAGCUUGAAGCAAAAGUCGGCGGCGUGUUUGUAGUACCUGGUCAGGUUUCCAUCGUACGGAGGUGUGGCACAAAAGACCAUGUCGGCGCACAGGUUGUAUCGACCCUGCUUGCAGUGAUCGCAGUAGCGGCAGGGCACUCCCGGCUCAAUGGCCACGCGGUCGCCCACCUUGAGGGUGGUCACUUUCUUGCCCAGCUUGGCCACCACGCCGGCUGCCUCGUGGCCAAUGAUCAUCGGCUUGGUCAGCACAAAGUCCCCGAUGCGUCCGUGGGCAAGGUAGUGCACGUCGGAUCCGCAGAUGCCCACGCUGUCCAUGGCCAGGAGAACCUCUGAGCAGGAGAAAGCAAUAUGAAAGCUAUUAGAUGAAUGUAUCUAUUAAUCCAAUUCUAGGCAAU